UAUGUGAUCGUCUCUCGCAUAUCAAUAAGCGGAGGAAAAGAAACUAACAAGGAUUCCCCUAGUAACGGCGAGUGAAGCGGGAAGAGCUCAAAUUUGAAAUCUUAAAGGGUCUCCCUUUACGGAUUGUAGUUUAAAGAAGUGUUUUUCUGUUGAGGUUUUGGUAAAAGUUCUUCGGAAUAGGACAUCAUAGAGGGCGAGAAUCCCGUAUUUGACCUUUACUUUCAACUUUGUGAUACACUUUCAAAGAGUCGGAUUGUUUGGGAAUGCAGUCCAAAAUGGGUGGUAAAUUUCAUCUAAAGCUAAAUAUUGGCGAGAGACCGAUAGCGAACAAGUACCGUGAGGGAAAGAUGAAAAGAACUUUGAAAAGAGAGUUAAACAGUACGUGAAAUUGUCAAAAGGGAAGCGUUUGACACCAGUGUUGUUUUUCUGAAAAUCAAUUAAAGAACUGUUUAUGCUAAGCUGUUUAGACUUUAUCAGCUAUCUGUUUAGUUUUGAGCUUUUCUUUAAUGCACUUUUCAGUUAACAAGUCAACAUCAAUUUCUUUUGCUGUAAAAAAGCUUGAGGAAGGUGGCUUGAGAUUCGUCUUAAGUGUUUAUAGCCUCUUGCCUAUGCAGUCGGAGAGAUUGAGGUCUGCAGCGUAGAUCCUUCGGGGCUAAAUGCAUUUGUGCUAAGUUAUAGCAUUUUAUAGACAACUUGUUGACUAUGAUUUGUCUUGUAGCUUACUCGCUUAUGUUAUUUUACCUACGCUUAGGAUGUUGAUCUCUCACAGUCGAGC
rnacentral:rRNA from 1 species